UACGUAGGCAGCAAGCGUUGUUCGGAGUUACUGGGCGUAAAGGGUGUGUAGGCGGUUAUUUAAGUUUGGUGUGAAAUCUCCCGGCUCAACCGGGAGGGUGCGCCGAAUACUGGAAUGACUUGGAGUGCGGGAGAGGAAAGUGGAAUUCCUGGUGUAGCGGUGGAAAUGCGUAGAUAUCAGGAGGAACACCGGUGGUGUAGACGGCUUUCUGGACCGUAACUGACGCUGAGACACGAAAGCGUGGGUAGCAAACAGG
rnacentral:rRNA from 1 species